rnacentral:RNase_P_RNA from 1 species
AGAGUUGGUUAGACAAUCGCUGGUUUAUUGAAGCCCUCAAGUUUGUAAUGGCACAAAUUUGCAAUUGCAUAAUCUAGGGGACAAGUAAACGAGAGGAAAGUCCGAGCUACAUAGGGCAGAGUGCCAGAUAACGUCUGGGCAGCGUGAGCUGACGACAAGUGCAACAGAGAGCAGACCGCCUUUUUUAUAAAGGUAAGGGUGAAAGGGUGUGGUAAGAGCACACCGUGUGACUGGUAACAGUUCACAGCAAGGUAAACUCCACUCGUAGCAAGACCAAAUAGGAAUUCAAUGAGUGGCCCGCUCAGAAUUCGGGUAGGUUGCUUGAGCGUAAUAGUAAUGUUACGCCUAGAGGAAUGAUUGUCCACGACAGAACUCGGCUUAUCGACCAACUCGUCCU